UACGGAGGAUCCAAGCGUUAUCCGGAUUUAUUGGGUUUAAAGGGUGCGUAGGCGGCCUGUUAAGUCAGGGGUGAAAGACGGUAGCUCAACUAUCGCAGUGCCCUUGAUACUGAUGGGCUUGAAUGGACUAGAGGUAGGCGGAAUGUGACAAGUAGCGGUGAAAUGCAUGGAUAUGUCACAGAACACCAAUUGCGAAGGCAGCUUACUAAAGUAUGAUUGACGCUGAGGCACGAAAGCGUGGGGAUCAAACAGG
rnacentral:rRNA from 1 species